UCGUCUGGCUUCUGCCCCCCACCCGCCGCCACCAUUGCCCACACACACACACACACACACACACACACACACACACACACACACACACACACACACACACACACACACACACACACACACACACGCGCACACAGGCACACUUCACAGGAGUGUCGAGUUGAGGUGUUGCGUAAGGUGAGCUCCACUUGGCGUGGGACCUGACUGAUCUGAUCUGGCUGAUCCACAGCAGUUCAACAAGUCAACAUUUCGACUGGAGUUGUCCCCCGUUGCCUGGAAAGAGAGCUGUGCGUCUCUCUUCUCGCUCUGGACUUUGACUGCCUCCCUCUAUCCUCGACCCCCCACUUUGGACUCGGAUCUCUUGACGCCCCUCUCAGCCCCACGAACCCCCGCUUGGAUCCCGGAUCACUUGCUUGUUCCCUUGGACGUUCAACACGUUGGUAACACACACUUCAGUUAACCUACACACAGAGCCUCACACCACAUACACUUUUCAAUCUAUAAUUAACAUUCCAUUCCCUUUGUUCGUUUUCUAUUGUUUGAUUAUUAUAGAUAUGUGGUUAAUAUAUAUAUAUAUAUAUAUGUAUAUAUUACAUCGGGACGGCGUGGCGCAGUGGAAGAGUGGCCGUGCGCAACCCGACGGUCCCUGGUUCAAUCCCCACCUAGUACCAACCUUGUCACGUCCGUUGUGUCCUGAGCAAGACACUUCACCCUUGCUCCUGAUGGGUGCUGGUUGGCGCCUUGCAUGGCAGCUCCCUCCAUCAGUGUGUGAAUGUGUGUGUGAAUGGGUAAAUGUGGAAGUAGUGUCAAAGCGCUUUGAGUACCUUGAAGGUAGAAAAGCGCUAUACAAGUACAACCCAUUUAUCAUUUAUCAUUUAUCUCUGUACACUACUGCCACCUGGUGUUAGUCUGCCGUCACCUCCCUCUGCAUUACAUAACAUAUAUGUAUGUAUUAUAUAUGUAACACAUUGUGUACUUGUGUACUCAUGUCUUGUGUACUUACGAUGUAUAUGUAUGUAUUAUAUAUGUAACACAUUGUGUACUUGUGUACUAAUGUCUUGUGUACUUACGAUGUAUAUGUAUGUAUUAUAUAUGUAACACAUUGUGUACUUGUGUACUCAUGUCUUGUGUACUUACGAUGUAUAUGUAUGUAUUAUAUAUGUAACACAUUGUGUACUUGUGUACUAAUGUCUUGUGUACUUACGAUGUAUAUGUAUGUAUUAUAUAUGUAACACAUUGUGUACUUGUGUACUAAUGUCUUGUGUACUUACGAUGUAUAUGUAUGUAUUAUAUAUGUAACACAUUGUGUACUUGUGUACUAAUGUCUUGUGUACUUACGAUGUAUAUGUAUGUAUUAUAUAUGUAACACAUUGUGUACUUGUGUACUAAUGUCUUGUGUACUUACGAUGUAUAUGUAUGUAUUAUAUAUGUAACACAUUGUGUACUUGUGUACUAAUGUCUUGUGUACUUACGAUGUAUAUGUAUGUAUUAUAUAUGUAACACAUUGUGUACUUGUGUACUAAUGUCUUGUGUACUUACGAUGUAUAUGUAUGUAUUAUAUAUGUAACACAUUGUGUACUUGUGUACUAAUGUCUUGUGUACUUACGAUGUAUAUGUAUGUAUUAUAUAUGUAACACAUUGUGUACUUGUGUACUCAUGUCUUGUGUACUUACGAUGUAUAUGUAUGUAUUAUAUAUGUAACACAUUGUGUA